GACGAACGCUGGCGGCGUGCUUAACACAUGCCAGUCGAACGGAAAGGCCCUGCUUUUGUGGGGUGCUCGAGUGGCGAACGGGUGAGUAACACGUGAGUAACCUGCCCUUGACUUUGGGAUAACUUCAGGAAACUGGGGCUAAUACCGGAUAGGAGCUCCUGCUGCAUGGUGGGGGUUGGAAAGUUUCGGCGGUUGGGGAUGGACUCGCGGCUUAUCAGCUUGUUGGUGGGGUAGUGGCUUACCAAGGCUUUGACGGGUAGCCGGCCUGAGAGGGUGACCGGCCACAUUGGGACUGAGAUACGGCCCAGACUCCUACGGGAGGCAGCAGUGGGGAAUAUUGCACAAUGGGCGGAAGCCUGAUGCAGCAACGCCGCGUGCGGGAUGACGGCCUUCGGGCUGUAAACCGCUUUCGCCUGUGACGAAGCGUGAGUGACGGUAAUGGGUAAAGAAGCACCGGCUAACUACGUG
rnacentral:rRNA from 1 species